UACGUAGGGGGCGAGCGUUGUCCGGAGUACUGGGCGUAAAGCGCACGCAGGCGGUCUGUUAAGUUUGGAGUGACAGUUGGUGGCUCAACCACCAAAGUGCUUUGAAAACUGAUAGACUUGAGGGCUUCAGAGGGACACGGAAUUCCGGGUGGAGUGGUGAAAGUGCGUAGGAGAUCCGGAGGAACACCAAAGGCGAAGGGCAGUGUCCUGGGGAGUA
rnacentral:rRNA from 1 species